GCACAACGAGCGGCGCGACGGGCUCCGCCGACUCCCUCCACCGCCCGCCUUCAAGGUCAGCGACUCACUCCAGCUGCAACCAACACGCGCGCGCGCUCUCCGCCUUCACUGAAUUUCUUACGACCCGCUUCGCCCUGCCGUCGCAGCUGAUCCAGGUACAGAGACAUCACGAGCUCAUCGCCCCCGGAGCCGUCCUACUCACCAACGGAUGCGCCCCCGACGUGUGGAUCCAGGUGAAGGACGAUUCAUCCGUAUCUGUGAUUCAUGGCCGGGAUGCUCGUCUGAUUUGGCGCUCGGUUGCUGCAGAGAAGAAUGCGAAGAUCCCCUCGUCACACUGCAACUCACGGGUCAGUACAGUCUGUACGCGCCAGUGUGAGACUCUGAAUUCUGAUGAAGCAGCAAGACUGGGCAAUGUCGCCGCAGGUUCGAGAGCCAACUGCUUUCAUCUAUUUAUCAUUACUGCAAUUUGGUCAUGCAGCCUUACACAUGUCUGAAUUCAUACACAUAUUCAUAAGAUGGCAACGGUGAGAUUUUAUCAUGCCCUCAUGCUCAUCUUCAGGAGCCCGUGGAGAGGUUUCAGUUCCUGAACAGUUCCUUGAGAUGGGUGGACCACAGAGACCUGGGUUGCCGAUGUAGAUGGAUGCCGGGUCGUCCAAAAUUUGUAGUUGAUUGCCGGAAGGUAUGCUUCCUGUCAGAUUGUUAUACGACAAGUUCAAGUGGGCCAAUGAUGUCAGGUCUGCCAAACUUGUAGGGAUUUCACCAGAGAGCACAUUAUAUAUGGGAGAGAUCCAGAGAUUCCACUGCACGAAGCUCACCAAUAGUUUGGGGCAUUAUGCUACUAAGGUG
rnacentral:lncRNA from 1 species